rnacentral:rRNA from 1 species
AAUGAACGCUGGCGGCGUGCCUUACACAUGCAAGUCGAGCGAGGCGGCCCGCAAGGGUCAGUCGAGCGGCGGACGGGUGAGUAACGCGUGGAUAACCUGCCCAGAGGUGGGGGAUAACCCGGGGAAACUCGGGCUAAUACCGCAUGAUACCGAGAGGUCAAAGGGGGCUCGCAAGAGCUCUCGCCAUUGGAGGGGUCCNCGUCCGAUUAGCUAGUUGGUAGGGUAAUGGCCUACCAAGGCGACGAUCGGUAGCCGGCCUGAGAGGGUGAUCGGCCACACUGGAACUGAGACACGGUCCAGACUCCUACGGGAGGCAGCAGUGGGGAAUUUUGCGC